rnacentral:rRNA from 1 species
GAUGAACGCUGGCGGCGUGCCUAAUACAUGCAAGUCGAGCGAAUGGAUUAAGAGCUUGCUCUUAUGAAGUUAGCGGCGGACGGGUGAGUAACACGUGGGCAACCUGCCCAUAAGACUGGGAUAACUCCGGGAAACCGGGGCUAAUACAGGAUAAUAUUUUGAACUGCAUGGUUCAAAAUUGAAAGGCCGCUGCGUAUGUCACUUGUGGAUGGACCCGCGUCGCAUUAGCUAGUUGGUGAGGUAACGGCUCACCAAGGCAACGAUGCGUAGCCGACCUGAGAGGGUGAUCUGCCACACUGGGACUGAGACACGGCCCAGAAUCCUACGAGAGGCAGCAGUAGGGAAUCUUCCGCAAUGGACGAAAGUCUGACGGAGCAACGCCGCGUGAGAGAUGGAGGCUUUCGGGUCGUAAAACUCUGUUGUUAGGGAAGAACAAGUGCUAGUUGAAUAAGCUGGCACCUUGACGGUACCUAACCAGAAAGCCACGGCUAACUACGUGCCAGCCGCCGCCGUAA